rnacentral:rRNA from 1 species
UACGUAGGGUGCAGGCGUUAAUCGGAGUUACUGGGCGUAAAGCGUGCGCAGGCGGUCUUUUAAGUCAGAUGUGAAAUCCCCGGGCUUAACCUGGGAACUGCGUUUGAAACUGAAAGGCUAGGGUGUGGCAGAGGGGGGUGGAAUUCCACGUGUAGCAGUGAAAUGCGUAGAGAUGUGGAGGAACACCGAUGGCGAAGGCAGCCCCCUGGGCUAACACUGACGCUCAUGCACGAAAGCGUGGGGAGCAAACAGG